rnacentral:rRNA from 1 species
UAAAGCUAAAAAGAGCGCAGGGCGAAUGCCUUGGCAUUGGGAGCCGACGAAGGACGUGAUUAACUGCGAUAAGCUGCGGGGAAUGGUAAGUACAUAUUGAUCCGCAGAUUUCCGAAUGGAGCAAUCCGUACAAGAGCAGCUUGUACAUCAUAUACUGAAUAAAAUAGGUAUAUGAGGGGAACCGCCUGAACUGAAACAUCUAAGUAGGGCGAGGAAGAGAAAUCAACCGAGAUUUCCUAAGUAGUGGCGAGCGAACGGGAAAGAGGCCAAACCAAAGAGAGCAAUCUUUAUGGGGUUUAGGACUGCAAAAUGUAUUGACAAUCUUUAACCGAACACAAUGGGAAGUGUGAUCAGAGAGCGUGAGAAUCGCGUAGGUGAAAAGGAAAGUCAGCAGGCAGGAUCCAGAGUACCGCCGGACACGUGAAACCCGGUGGGAAGACGGGGGGACCACCCUCCAAGCCUAAAUACUACCCAAUGACCGAUAGUGAAUAAGUACUGUGAAGGAAAGGUGAAAAGCACCCCGGGAGGGGAGUGAAAGAGAACCUGAAACCCUGUGCUUACAAGCACAUAGAGCACAUCAAAGUGUGAUAUGGUACCUUUUGUAGAAUGGUCCGGCGAGUUAUCGUGUGCAGCAAGGUUAAGUUCUUAAGGAACGGAGCCGAAGCGAGAGCGAGUCUUAAUAGGGCGUUAAGUUGUACGUGAUAGACCCGAAACCGGGUGACCUAGCCAUGUCCAGGCUGAAGUGGAGGUAAAACUCCAUGGAGGGCCGAACCGACCCCCGUUGAAAAGGUGGCGGAUGAGGUGUGGCUAGCGGAGAAAUUCCAAUCGAACCCGGAUAUAGCUGGUUCUCCCCGAAAUAGCUUUAGGGCUAGCGUUAUGAUAGAUUACCGGAGGUAAAGCACUGAAUUGGCUAGGGGCCGAGAGGUUACUGAACCAUAUCAAACUCAGAAUGCCGGAUAAUCGUUUCAUAGCAGUCAGACUACGUGAGAUAAGUCUCGUGGUCAAAAGGGAAACAGCCCAGACCCACAGCUAAGGUCCCAAAAUAGAUUUAAGUGGAGAAGGAUGUGGAGUUGCACAGACAACCAGGAUGUUGGCUUAGAAGCAGCCACUCAUUAAAAGAGUGCGUAAUAGCUCACUGGUCGAGUGACUCUGCGCCGAAAAUUCAACGGGGCUAAAAUCUAUACCGAAGCUUGGGCUUGAUGACUUGUCAUCAGGGGUAGGGGAGCGUUGUAUGAGUGGAGAAGUCAUAGCGGAAGCGAUGGUGGAGUUCAUACAAGUGAGAAUGCCGGAAUGAGUAGCGAGAAUUAUGUGAGAAUCAUAAUGGCCGAAAGUCUAAGGUUUCAGAAGGAAGGUUCGUCCGCUCCAAGUAAGUCGGGAGCUAAGGUCAGGCCGAAAGGCGUAGCCGAUGCACAUACGGUUGAAAUUCCGUAACCAUCAGAAAGACUUAAACAAAGGGACACUUCAAAAGGGUGUGACCCGGGCGUUGGUAGACCCGGGCGUAAGGGACCGAAAAUAGAGUAGGGAAGCACACUUGGCUCAAGGCGAGAAAAGCUUUGUGUAUAGAAGCAGAUGCCCGUACCGCAAACCGACACAGGUGGACAGGAAGAGAAUUCUAAGGCCAGCGGGGGAAGGGUAGUUAAGGAACUCGGCAAAUUGACUCCGUAACUUAGGAAUAAGGAGUACUCGAGCAAGCAAGCCGCAGAGAAUAGGCCCAGGCGACUGUUUAGCAAAAACACAGGUCUCUGCCAAAUCGAAAGAUGAAGUAUAGGGGCUGACACCUGCCCGGUGCCGGAAGGUUAAGAGGAGAAGUGAGAGCGCCGAAUCGAAGCCCCGGUAAACGGCGGCCGUAACUAUAACGGUCCUAAGGUAGCGAAAUUCCUUGUCAGGUAAGUUCCGACCCGCACGAAUGGUGUAACGAUCUGGGCACUGUCUCAACAACCCACCCGGCGAAAUUGUAGUACCGGUGAAGAUGCCGGUUACCCGCGACAAGACGGAAAGACCCCAUGGAGCUUUACUGUAGCCUGAUAUUGGGUUUCGGUAAUCUAUGUACAGGAUAGGCGGGAGACUGG